rnacentral:rRNA from 1 species
AACGAACGCUGGCGGCAGGCUUAACACAUGCAAGUCGAACGGGUGCAGCAAUGCAUCAGUGGCAGACGGGUGAGUAACACGUGGGAACCUUCCUCGGGGUACGGAACAACUCAGGGAAACUCGAGCUAAUACCGUAUACGUCCGUGAGGAGAGAGAUUUAUCGCCCUUAGACGGGCCCGCGUCGGAUUAGCGAGUUGGUGGGGUAACGGCCUACCAAGGCGACGAUCCGUAGCUGAUCUUAGAGGAUGAUCAGCCACACUGGGACUGAGACACGGCCCAGACUCCUACGGGAGGCAGCAGUGGGGAAUCUUGGACAAUGGGCGCAAGCCUGAUCCAGCCAUGCCGCGUGAGUGAAGAAGGUCUUCGGAUUGUAAAGCUCUUUUGCCAGGGACGAUAAUGACGGUACCUGGAGAAUAAGCCCCGGCAAACUUCGUGCCAGCAGCCGCAGUAA